CCUACGGGAGGCAGCAGUGAGGAAUAUUGGUCAAUGGACGAGAGUCUGAACCAGCCAAGUAGCGUGAAGGAUGAAUGCACUAUGGGUUGUAAACUUCUUUUAUAUGGGAAUAAAACGUUCAACGAGUGGGAUUUUGUAUGUACCAUAUGCAUAAGGAUCGGCUAACUCCGUGCCAGCAGCCGACGUAAUACGGAGGAUCCGAGCGUUAUCCGGAUUUAUUGGGUUUAAAGGGAACGUAGGUGGAUUGUUAAGUCAGUUGUGAAAGUUUGCGGCUCAACCGUAAAAUUGCAGCUGAAACUGGCAGUCUUGAGUACAGUAGAGGUGGGCAGAAUUCGUGGUGUAGCGGUGAAAUGCUUAGAUAUCACGAAGAACUCCGAUUGCGAAGGCAGUUCACUGGACUGCAACUGACACUGAGGCUCGAAAGCGUGGGUAUCAAACAGGAUUAGAUACCCUAGUAGUC
rnacentral:rRNA from 1 species